rnacentral:rRNA from 1 species
AGUCGACUGGAAUUCACCUUCGGGUGAUAGUACGGUGGCGGACGGGUGAGUAACGCGUAAAGAACUUGCCCUCUAGACUGGGACAACUGUUGGAAACGACGCUAAUACCGGAUAUUAUGAGAUUCUCGCAUGGGAAACUUAUGAAAGGCUAUAUGCGCUAGAGGAGAGCUUUGCGUGCCAUUAGGUAGUUGGUAGGGUAAUGGCCUACCAAGCCGACGAUGGCUAGCCGGCCUGAGAGGGUGAUCGGCCACAAGGGGACUGAGACACGGCCCUUACUCCUACGGGAGGCAGCAGUGGGGAAUAUUGGACAAUGGACCAAAAGUCUGAUCCAGCAAUUCUGUGUGCACGAUGAAGGUUUUCGGAUCGUAAAGUGCUUUCAGGUGGGAAGAAAAAAAUGACGGUACCACCAGAAGAAGCGACGGCUAAAUACGUGCCAGCAGCCGCGGUAAUACGUAUGUCGCAAGCGUUAUCCGGAAUUAUUGGGCGUAAAGCGCGUCUAGGCGG